rnacentral:rRNA from 1 species
ACCCAGCGAUGGGAUGCGAAUCUCGAAAGCCUGUCUCAGUUCGGAUUGGAGGCUGAAACCCGCCUCCAUGAAGUUGGAUUCGCUAGUAAUCGCGCAUCAGCCAUGGCGCGGUGAAUACGUUCCCGGGCCUUGUACACACCGCCCGUCAAGCCAUGGAGGCUGGGGGUGCCUGAAGUUCGUGACCGGAAGGAGCGACCUAGGGCAAAAACCGGUGACUGGGGCUAAGUCGUAACAAGGUAAC